CAUAUUACAAAAGCCGAUCGGUUGCUCUGUGGACACGACUAGACAAAAAUAUCUGCAUAACUCGACAAUCCCAUAAUUUUACACCUUCACACACAUAUUCUAAUGUGUAAUGCAUACGAUAGUUUAACGUGUGUAAAAUUAUAAUUUGAACUCUUUGUACGUUAACCUUAACCCUUUCAAGCCCUAAAUGUCCCUUGUCACAGCGGGGUCGCGUAGAUUUUGAGAAACAGAAAAUAUCAGGGUCAAAGUAUUCGAGAAUAUUAAGGAUUUCUUCUAUUAAUAAAAAAGACCCUUGUGUUCCGCAUUCCUCUCGAGGUUGACUUUGAUCUUAAAAAAAACCCAGUUUAUGUUUUACCAUUCAAAGUGAGAGGAAGUCAAAUAAAAUUUCAACACGACUAGAUUUUUUUCUACAUAUUUUUCAACAAGUUCAAAACUAAGGAAGUACUUUUUAAAGUCCUAAACAAUGGCUGAAUGUGCAAUUCAAAAAUAUCCAUUUGUUGUAAUUCUGGGUGUUCUGGUAUUUGCCCUCUACUGUCGAACUGCUGUAUCACAAGGUGAAGGCCAACCAUGCAAACUUCUCGGGGUUGAUUUGCCUGUAACGAUUUGUGCUACAAAUUGCGACUUUUUACCUGGGAUUCCUGGCUUAGGGGGGAUAUGCUCAGCUGGACUGAAAUGUUGCGUUCAUCCAGCUGAAAAAGCACGUGUCGCGAAUACUAAUCAGUGGCAGAUAUGUACAUACUUAACCCAUCUGUUGACAGAUUACGUUUUGUUUACAUUUUUGAUUUUAUGAAUUAAUGAUGAAAAUAGAAUUGACAAGGGACAAAUAUUUAUCU